rnacentral:rRNA from 1 species
GACGAACGCUGGCGGCGUGCUUAACGCAUGCAAGUCGAACGAAGAGCGAUGGAAGCUUGCUUCUAUCAAUCUUAGUGGCGAACGGGUGAGUAACGCGUAAUCAACCUGCCCUUCAGAGGGGGACAACAGUUGGAAACGACUGCUAAUACCGCAUACGAUCUAAUCUCGGCAUCGAGGAUAGAUGAAAGGUGGCCUCUACAUGUAAGCUAUCACUGAAGGAGGGGAUUGCGUCUGAUUAGCUAGUUGGAGGGGUAACGGCCUACCAAGGCGAUGAUCAGUAGCCGGUCUGAGAGGAUGAACGGCCACAUUGGGACUGAGACACGGCCCAGACUCCUACGGGAGGCAGCAGUGGGGAAUCUUCCGCAAUGGACGAAAGUCUGACGGAGCAACGCCGCGUGAGUGAUGACGGCCUUCGGGUUGUAAAGCUCUGUUAAUCGGGACGAAAGGCCUUCUUGCGAAUAGUGAGAAGGAUUGACGGUACCGGAAUAGAAAGCCACGGCUAACUACGUG